rnacentral:rRNA from 1 species
AUGUCGUCUUUUAUACCUAUCGAGGUUGAUCCAUUUGACUGUGUGUACACAAACAUACCAGACAGCACCCACGUCCUGAAGAUCGACGCAAACUGCAAACACUGCAAAGCCAGAAAGUUUGUUUCUGAGACUGACGGAUUCUGCUGUCGCAAUGGACAGAUCGAGCUUAAACAACCGGAACCAAUCCCAGAGCUUAUGAGGCUAUGGUCCAGCAUGGAUGCAGAUUCCAGACAUUUUCGUGAGAACAUACGGUUUUUCAAUGGGCAUUUCGCCUUCACAACCCUGGGCGUCAGCCUUGAUGAGAACUACACAAACAUGAAGUCUGGGGUGUACACAUUCCAG